rnacentral:lncRNA from 1 species
AUAGCUAACUCAAGUCUCAACAAAGGUUGGAGGUUUGCAGACUUGCAUCUUGAUUUCUUUCUCCAUUCCACUAGGCUUCACAUAUCAGGCUCCCCUAUGGAACUAGAAGAUGGAUGAAAGAAGAAGUGUUUUCAGAGGAGCCUUGACGCCUUGGGAAAAUCCCAGGUCAGAUGGGAAGAAAGGAGCCCCGAGUUGUGGGUGUUUCUUACAGUGGUGAUAUUAAGGAAAUCUGGUUUGAAGAGGGACUCCUUCUUUCACUUGUAAGUUUCUGCCUUGGAGAAGUUCUGUGCUUCUGAAAGCCACACUUCCACUUAUGAUGAGGACAGUAACUACUCUAUGGAGUUGUUGGAGAAGAAAAAAACACAUGACAUAAUACAUCCAAAGCUCAACAUAUCUGCUGAACCUCAUUAAGGUAUGCCAUAAGAAGGACUGGAUCAUAUUUUGAUCAAGGCAGAUUUGAGUGUUCUAGAGACAUGCCU